rnacentral:rRNA from 1 species
CGGGAGGCAGCAGUAGGGAAUCUUCCGCAAUGGGCGAAAGCCUGACGGAGCAACGCCGCGUGAGUGAUGAAGGUCUUCGGAUCGCAAAACUCUGUUAUUAGGGAAGAACAAAUGUGUAAGUAACUAUGCACGUCUUGACGGUACCUAAUCAGAAAGCCACGGCUAACUACGUGCCAGCAGCCGCGGUAAUACGUAGGUGGCAAGCGUUAUCCGGAAUUAUUGGGCGUAAAGCGCGCGUAGGCGGUUUUUUAAGUCUGAUGUGAAAGCCCACGGCUCAACCGUGGAGGGUCAUUGGAAACUGGAAAACUUGAGUGCAGAAGAGGAAAGUGGAAUUCCAUGUGUAGCGGUGAAAUGCGCAGAGAUAUGGAGGAACACCAGUGGCGAAGGCGACUUUCUGGUCUGUAACUGACGCUGAUGUGCGAAAGCGUGGGGAUCAAACAGGAUUAGAUACCCUGGUAGUCCACGCCGUAAACGAUGAGUGCUAAGUGUUAGGGGGUUUCCGCCCCCUAGUGCUGCAGCUAACGCAUUAAGCACUCCGCCUGGGGAGUACGACCGCAAGGUUGAAACUCGAAGGAAUUGACGGGGACCCGCACAAGCGGUGGAGCAUGUGGUUUAAUUCGAAGCAACGCGAAGAACCUUACCAAAUCUUGACAUCCUCUGACCCCUCUAGAGAUAGAGUUUUCCCCUUCGGGGGACAGAGUGACAGGUGGUGCAUGGUUGUCGUCAGCUCGUGUCGUGAGGUGUUGGGUUAAGU